rnacentral:rRNA from 1 species
CGCUGGCGGCAGGCCUAAUACAUGCAAGUCGAGCGCGCCCUUCGGGGUGAGCGGCGGACGGGUGAGUAACGCGUGGGAAUAUGCCCUUCUCUAAGGAAUAGCCUCUGGAAACGGAGAGUAAUACCUUAUACGCCCUUUGGGGGAAAGAUUUAUCGGAGAAGGAUUAGCCCGCGUUAGAUUAGGUAGUUGGUGGGGUAAUGGCCUACCAAGCCUACGAUCUAUAGCUGGUUUGAGAGGAUGAUCAGCCACACUGGGACUGAGACACGGCCCAGACUCCUACGGGAGGCAGCAGUAGGGAAUCUUAGACAAUGGGGGCAACCCUGAUCUAGCCAUGCCGCGUGUGUGAUGAAGGCCCUAGGGUCGUAAAGCACUUUCGCCAGAGAUGAUAAUGACAGUAUCUGGUAAAGAAACCCCGGCUAACUCCGUGCCAGCAGCCGCGGUAAUACGGAGGGGGUUAGCGUUGUUCGGAAUUACUGGGCGUAAAGCGCACGUAGGCGGAUUAGUAAGUUAGAGGUGAAAUCCCAGGGCUCAACCCUGGAACUGCCUUUAAUACUGCUAGUCUUGAGUUCGAGAGAGGUAAGUGGAAUUCCGAGUGUAGAGGUGAAAUUCGUAGAUAUUCGGAGGAAUACCAGUGGCGAAGGCGGCUUACUGGCUCGAUACUGACGCUGAGGUGCGAAAGUGUGGGGAGCAAACAGGAUUAGAUACCCUGGUAGUCCACACCGUAAACGAUGAAUGCCAGACGUCAGCAAGUAUACUUGUUGGUGUCACACCUAACGGAUUAAGCAUUCCGCCUGGGGAGUACGGUCGCAAGAUUAA